rnacentral:lncRNA from 1 species
AGAAGCUAAGUAUUGUAACAAUAUAGAACACGUUUUGGAAGCAAGAAAACACAUGUUAUGUAAAUACAAAACUUGGACAUGAAUGACAACAUAAAAUGCAUGUGUUAGAAAGAAGAUAAUGAGCCUUAACAAAAAAAAAAAGGCAAGGGAAGAGAUAAUGAGGGAGUGAGCCAACUAUGAAAAUGGAGCAAUGUGAGGAAUCAUGAAAAGGAGUGUAAUGGUGGCGAAAAUGGCACAUCACAAAUGCAACGAUGACAAAGAAAUGGAACAAUGUUUGUGUUCGCAAUGACAAUGGAGAAAUGGAAGUGGCGUUAACGUCUCCCAAUUGCAGAAAAAAACAAAGGAGUUCUCAACGAUACAAUGAAACAAAUGUCUUUGGUGGGGUUUUAAAUAUCUAAAAAAUUACCAUAGCAAAGGAAUAAGCUUUGUUUUUUUUUAAAACCGAAGCCUAUUAUCUGACACUUUUGAAAUUUUAGGAUGAUUAUAGCCUUCAAUUACUAGUAUAAGUUAUGAUUAUUUUAAAAUUGGAGUCUAUAAUUAUGAAUAUAUUUUCAAAAAUGUUACCGGUGACAU